rfam:Caenorhabditis elegans chromosome II
CCAACGGCCCUCUUUAGGGCCACACAUGACAAAAAUCCGAAUAUUCU